rnacentral:tRNA from 1 species
GACCGCGUAGCUCAGUUGGCAGAGCAUUGGGCUAGUAUUCGAAAGAUCGUAGGUUCGAUUCCCACCGUGGUCA